CACGGUAAGCAAGGCAAUCGCUUUCUGGCGUAAGCCAAGAAGAGGAAAGUCCGGACUCCUAACGAACACGGUACCUUAGGAGAUUAUUCAUCAACUAAGGGGGCAUUAAGCUACGGAAAGUGCCACAGAAAAUAACCGCCCGUGUCCUAAAAAGGCACUGGUAAGGGUGAAAACGUGCGGUAAGAGCGCACGAUUUAUGAUAGUAAUAUGAUAAAUGGGUAAACCCUACUGGGAGCAAGACAGAAUAGGCAUGCUCGGCGUUCGUUCCGAUUUAGCAUGUGGGUAUGUCGCAUAGAUAAAUGGUUGCCACUUCAGGUAUACCCUGGAGAACAAAAUCCGGCUUAUUGCUUAUCGUGGCGA
rnacentral:RNase_P_RNA from 1 species